UACUUUUAAUGAAGGGAGAAUUCUAGUCCUGUCAAACCCGUUCGGCUAACGACCCUCCACCAGUCAAGCAAGCGGUGGGUGAGAGUGGACACCCAUUAAGUUGCCAUUUUAUAGGCAACAACCUUAUACCCACCUUAUAGACCGGCUUCGUGAAUGAGGCGUACUAGCGGUAAGACUGACUUUACUCUUAUACAUAUAUAUAUUAUUAACUUAUAAUAUUAUAAAGUAUAAGGGUUGAAUUUUAACUUUUAAAAUUCUAAGGGCUAACUUGGAAUUAAAGUAUUCAUAAGUGAAAACUUUACAAAUUCCAAAACUUGAGGGCAAGUUUUGAAACUAUUCAAAACUAAUUAAUUCCAUAACUUAUGUGUUUAAAGUAGUUUUAAUCCAAAAACUCUUCAAGUUCCAUAACUUGAGGACAAGUUAUGGAAGACUUUAAACUAAUAAAAGAAUUAACUUUUCUUUAUUUUAUAACUUAUGGAAUUAAUUAAGGUUACCCCUUUUUUUAUUUUAUUUUAUUUUAUUAAAUGAAGAGACUCUUGGUCCUCCAUAACUUGAGGACAAGUUAUGGAGUCAUAAAACCAUUUAAUUAGAACUAGACUCUUCAUUUUUGUAACCUUUGCCAAUUUUUAUGAGUUUUAUGAUUCUUAAAUGUGACUUUUCAUAUAACUUGAGGACAAGUUACAAAAACACAUUUUAGAAUCAAUUCUUAGAUUAAUUUGGAUUAAAACCAACUAUCACAUAAUUUUAUUCAUUAAUCUAAAUUCACUCAUAAAACAAGGUAACACAAAAAACUUUUGGUGAUCCAUAACUUAUUCUUAAGUUAUGGAAUCCUUUAAAACAUUAACACCAAAUUUUGUAACUCCAAAAAAACUUUGAAUAAAUUUUUUUUUAAAACCUUUUCAUAUCCAUAACUUAUGGAGGUUUCAAAAAAUAAAACUCUUUAGAUCAAACUUUUAAAACUAAUAAAAUAAUCAUAUUAUUUUAUCUUUUAUUAAAUUUGACCUAAUUCAACUCAUAAAGCAAAUUAUUCAAAUUUUACAAAUAAUUAGUUUUUCACAAGAACAAGUAAUUAUCUUAAAAUUUGACGAACUUCAUGUUUUUUUUUUUUUUUUUUUUCAACUUUGAAAAUAAAAUAUUUGCAUCAAUAUAACAGAAAACAACCCGUGGCUCUGAUACCACUGUUGGGUUUUGAGCAUUCUAACACUUCCUAAGUGUACAUGCAACCCUAAAUACCUUGGAUCUAUGUUUUCUCUAUUAUACAUGCAAAUAAGAACAUCCAAGGUAUUAUCCUAAUCUAGCAUACAAAAACUAUGAAUGUAACAAGAUAGAAUACAUACCUCUUGAUGUAGCUUGAUGUCUUCAAGCUUUAAGAGCUUAGCCCCAAUAGUGUGGAAGCCUCAAGUGGAAUCACAAAUCACCAAGACACCUUGGAAUACUUUAGAGAAUAUGAUUACUUGGUUCUCUCUAGUGAAAUUGGCUAGCCCUUCUUUAGUGUAUCCACACUAGUGCCAAUUUCACCAACCAAAGACAUCUUUAUAUAGUAUGGAGGAUUAGGGUUAAACCCUAAUACCCAUGACCUUUCAUUUCCUAGGAUCCAUGGGUUAAACACUCCAUGGACUAUCCAUGAAAUCUUAGCCCAACCUAAAUGAACUUGGCCCAUUCCAUAUAUAUAAGAGUCCAUAUUUAAUUAGUUCCUUUUUGAUCACUUAAUUAAUUAUAAAUUAAUUCUUGAUCAAUACUAAUUAAAUAAUAUGAUUCCAUAUUAAUAUAUUAGAACUUAUAAUAUAUUAAUAUUAAUCAUAAACAUACUAUUCUCAAAAGAUUAUCCAUAUAAAUUGUGUCGGUGAAGUGCAACCCAAAUGGACCAUGCCGGGUCGGGUCAAGUACAUACCAAAUAUAGUUAUGGACUUAGACAUUAAUCCAACACAAACCUCUCUCUAUCUAUCUCUCGGAACUUGGCGAUGAUCUCCACCACGAUCUCAGUUGUCUGACGUAUAUCCUAGAACUGCGUCGCCAACUAUUUCAUCUUAAUAGCCGGUAUAGACUCAACACAGAACCAGGUCAUAAAAUCCGACCAGGUCAUAGCCUCAAUGGUUGGUGCUCCCAGAGCAUAACCAACCUCCUCCCACCAGUCUCGGACUCGCUCCCUCAGACAACCUAUAAUGAACGUCACCAUCGACCCCUUGGGACAGAAGCUAGCCAUCUGAGUACACUCCAUAUUUGUUAUACAUCGUCUGGCGACAAUGGGUUCCUUCGCCCCAAAGAAACCUGGUGCCCCACAACCCUUGAAAUCCUUGAAGGAUAGAGUGUGGGAUUCGUACUGACCAGUAGCUAGCUCGGCUCUAAAGGUACAUAAAUGCUCCUCCAUCAAAUCGAUAAUACCCUCCUUGAUGGACUCGAACAUCACUGGGGUCAUAUCAAGGAUGCCUCUCGUAAUCUUAGACGCAAUGAACUCGUGUAGUCCCUCAUCAAUUAGGUCGGCAUCCGAGCCUGAACUAGAUCCAAAUCCUGAACUUCCUGCUCUGCUACAUGUCGUCACCAUGCUGAAACACAAUACAUAAACAAUUAGUAUAUACACGAAGAGGUUCACACUCUCGAAGUUUCUCGAAAUCAUCAAGACCUUCUUUGUCUCUGGUAUAGAUACUGUGUUUUCAGUAGUACAGGCCUAAUACUACCUUCCACACCUAUCUAUACCUUCCUUAAGGACUGUUCUAAAUCCUCCAAGUCACUUCCCUACUAUUAAUUAUUUCACUCAUAUUGUAGAGCGCCCUACGCACUAAGACAUAUCCUAGGCUUUCCUAGUAUUCCCUUUUUACCAUCACCCUCUGCCAUGAGCUGCAGAAGAGACUCCCUCUAACACCUUCUAACUACCUCACGAAUACAGUUACAUGUUAUUGACAUAAAACAAUUUUUUAAUGCUAGAUCCAACCCCACAAUGGUUGGAAUCAAAUAAGAGCAACACAAUAUAAUUGAAUCUAACCUUCAAAAAUUAUCGUAUCCCUAUAACAUGUAAUUUAACGCAUCUGCUUAAUAAUUAGCCAACAUUAGUGGUGUCCCUAGAAGCACAAAGCAAGCAGCAUUCAAGCGUUGGGUUCAAAAUCAGUGCACUACCUAAUCAUGACAUCUUAUCUAUUCAUAUGAAAUCUAUACUAGCAUGCAGUUCUAAAGGCUCAUACAACCGACAUACAAGGCGUCUCUCCUAGCAUCCUACCAUGCAAUUACGAGUAUAUCCUUAGCCCUAAUCUAUCAUGAUAUACACAUAUACAUAUAUUGAAAGUAUAGAUAUGUACGGUUAUUUUGGAAAAUAAUUACUCGAUCUCGGCGAUUGCACGCAUCAUGCCCCUUUCUUAUAAAAAUCUAUUUAGAAAAUCCAUGUUCUUUCAAAAAGAUUACCAAUUCCUCAGUUUGAGUUCAUACACACCUGAGAGUGUGCACGAAUCCAUCAAACCAGGGCUCUAACACCAAGUUGUUGUUGGAUUAGAUGUCUAAGCCAUAACUAUUAUUGGUAUGUACUCGACCCGAGAGUAGCAUGAUCCAUUUGGGUUGCAUAACACUAGGACAAUUUGUUAGGAUGGACUCUUGAGAAAAGGUUAUAUAUGGUUUAUUAAUAUAUUAUAAGUUCUAAUAUAUUAAUAUGAAAUCAUAUGUUUUAAUUGUUGGGUUUUGAGCAUUCUAACAAUCCUAAGUGUACAUGCAACCCUAAAUACCUUGGAUCUAUAUUUUCUCUAUUAUACAUGCAAAUAUGGACAUCCAAGGUAUUAUCCUAAUCUAGCAUACAAAAAAAAUGAAUGUAACAAGAUAGAAUACAUACCUCUUUGAUGUAGAAUGUCCUCAAGAAGCUUGAGUGCCUAGUGCCCCAAGUGUGACAGCUCAAAUGGUUCACACAACAUCAUAUGCACAUGGAAGACUUAGAGAGAAACACCACACUUCAUAAAAAAUGGCUAGCCCUUCUUUCUCAUAACUUAGUCUGAUUUUUCCCAUAGAAUAUGAUCUUAUAUAGUUGUUACAAUUGGGGUAAACCCUAAUUGUCAUGGAUUUCCAUUUCCUUGGAUCCAUGGGUUCAAAUACACCAUGGAGCAUCUUAUGGGUUUUAGCACAACUUGACAAUCCAUGGAGCAUUAGCCCACUAUACAAGUAUGGAUGAUUUACACAAUCAACCCAUAUAUUUAAUUAGUCUCCUUUUGAUCACUUAAUUAAUCAGAGAUUAAUUCUUGAUCAAUACUAAUUAAAUAAUAUUAUUAGUAUAUUAGAACUUAUAAUAUAUUAACAAACCUUAAGUGUUAUGUCUCUCAUUAUAGUCUAUCCAAAUGCAUGAUGCCAUGUAACCCAAAUGGACCAUGCCAGGUCGGUUCAAGGCUCAAAAGCUUAUUGCGUAUGACUUCAAGAACCGGCUGCCAAUCGUAGCUCUCAAAAGCUUCCCUCGAACUCUGACCUUGCCGAUGAUCUCUGACCUUUGUCAAUGACUUGUCCAUUAGAUAAGGGAUCAUAUAUUCCUCCAUUCUAGAUAUCAUAUGGACUGAGACAUGGAGUAUAAAUCAUUCUCUCUGUCCAUUUGUUGUUUCCUGAUUUCCGAUUCAUGACGACUGACCGAUUGAUCAGAUCAAAUUAGUCCUGGCUUGGCCAAGCACUCACAUGUGUCAUCGCUAAAUCAUUGAGGGGCCCACAUAUAUCGCUUUUAUCCCGAAGGUAAAAGGAAUGGAUAAACUUCGACUCAUAUGGCUUGUUCUGCUACUUGUUGAAUCAUACACAAAAACACGUUUUAUACCAUCGAGUUACCAAUGCGCUUUCGUGCAAUCAAUGUAUAACCAACUCAUACCUCUAGGUUUGAAGAAUAUAAGAUAUUAUCGUCUCAUGAUCACUCGUGAUAAAAUCCAUGAAGUGAUUCCAAUGAGCGCGGGUUGAAUCCAAUACUCAGAACUUAUGAGCACUCAUGAGUGUUGUAGCCCAACUUUGUCCACCAACUUGGACCUCUACAAGCCAACCCAUGACAGUCUUGAUUCAUAUCUACUUCCAACAUAUGACCGACUGUGGAUGGUUUGAAUAACUUAGUCAUUCCGGAAGAAUAACCUAGUUAUUAUGGAAGUCAAAACAUGCAAAGUGAAACACAAGAAUAAAUGAAUCUAAUAUGGUAUCAAAACCUAUGAAUAUAAAUAAAACACUUUCUAUUUAUCACCAUUCUGAUUACUCAUUAUUCAUUGUUUCAGUUUUAUCAACUUAUACUUGAAUUAAAAAAACACUAGGUGUCCCAUGCUCCAAGCAUGUACACUAUGUUUUCUAAACAAUAGCUUUGCCAUACACCAAGUAUGAAAUCUAUGUUUGUCUAUGAUCCUUUUCUUUGUGAACUAAAUCAAUUGAACAUAAUUUCAAUGAUUCUCUUUUCACACUCCCAAAUCCUUAUCGGAAAAAUGUAAGAAUUCCAAAUUCCUAACAUUUACCAAAAUUUGUUUAGAUUUUAAACUUAUAUGCACAGACCCUCUAGUAAUGAAUAUGUACAAAGUCACAAAGACUUGUCAACAGUCAUUACAGGUUGUUCCAAUAGAGAUCAAUUCCAUGGAGACAAAGUCUCAAAGCACAUUACUUUGAAUAUCCUUCUUGCAUUAAGUUUCUAAUCUUACACAUAUUGCUUCUAUCUAUGGAGACAACUCUAUAUUCCCAUUUUGACUACCACUUCUGAACAAGAGUUGCCUCUUUUCAGACUAUGUCAACAUGGACCUUCCAAUAUUAACAGUAUACUUCCAACUGUCCUUGAGCAACCAAUCUUUGGUAAAACUUAGAUUGUCCUCGACAAUUGCUUAAUCACUUUAGUCAUAUCCAAUUCUAGACAUUUUCCUCAAUGCCCCAAGGCAUUUGGAAAAUUCAGAAUGAAUAAAUAUUAUAGCACAUGUAAUCGAUCUUGUACCCAAAGUAAAUGGGAUACGAUUCAUGAUGUUUCACAUAAAGACAUGGUUCUAGACCAGUCUUUUGCCAUAAUAAUUUUUUGUUUGCCAUAUUCUUAAAAUUUGAUUAUGAAAACGGAUGCCGUAAUCAUAAUCGAAUUUUGAGAACGCAAUAUAUAGAAUUUUCUUAAGUUGAGCAAAUCCAACAUGAAAUUCAUAUAUAUAUAUUCUUGACUAAAGGUGAUUAAAAUCUCAAUAUAAGCUCUUUAGAAUGAUUAUAAACUCAAUCUAAGCCUUUUAGAAUUGAAAUGAUGUAUAAUAUCCUCUCCCUUAAUUAUAGCAAACAACUUUUUCAACCCUUGCAACCUCACGAAUUGAAACAUUUGUUUUUCUAUAAUUAACAUUGCUAACUUGCACUACUUAUCAUAAUUAUCAUGCUCCCACUAACACGAUGAUUAUUAGCAUAACACUUAUGCUCCCACUAGCUUUGACAUGUAUCCAGAAAACAACUGGACCUCUAGAAGUCAAUACUUUAUUGACAUUCUUACCAAAGUUCAGAUUUAUGAUACUAGAUUGCUUUGAUAAAACUUUAUCAAAAUCAUACACCUUAUCUUAGAUAGAUCAUAGGUGUGUCUAAACAAUUUCAGAACUAUGAAAAAGGAAUGUAAUAAUCAUAGUCUCAAUUGUUUAGACCUUUGCCAUCUGCUUCAAAUCUACUUGGUGGUAGUGUUUCCUCACCAUCAUUUACAUGAAUCGAAGAGAAACCUUAUGACCCUUAUAUUUUAUGGUGUAUGUGUUCUUAUCCAUGUGAAUAUGUCAAAACCAUAAUCACAUAUCCAAAUUCAUAUGGACUGAACUUGUGCAAUCUUAAAUUCUUGCCACCUGGCAGCUCAGGGGCCUGCCAUUGCUUCCAAGUUGAUAUGCUACCAAUUGAGAACUCUAAGAACUCAUAUGCAAAGACAACUUUAACUGGAAUGGGCACAUAAAUAGAAAUAUGUUAACACGAUAAGUUAUAGACCUCACGUCGUGUGCUAGUGAAGAACUUCAGGUUUUAUUCUUGAUUAGUUAUUGAGACUUUCAAGACCUUUAAGACUCCCACUGUCCUCUUGACAUAAAAGACUCUCUUCUCAAAUAUUCAAGGGAUAGUGCGGAUUCUUUAUCAAGACAAACGCUUCACACAAUUGGCCUUAGUUGGUCUUUGUUUUAUCCAAACAUCACAACUUACCAAUUUCAAAUGUACAAGAGUAGAUAACCUUUUACUCUUACAUUUGACUAGUGUUAAUAAACCUUUUUUAAGAUAUGUCACUCAAGUUACAAUCUUGGAGUAUGACUCUAAUAAUUGUUUUGGAACGAAGUAUGACUCAUCUUCUUGAUUUGACCACUUCAACGAUUCCUAGCUCCUCUUCUUAGCUUUCAGAAUGCACUUAGAGGAUGAAUUGUGAUAAGGUCUCUUAAUCAUUAAGAUGAUCAUAUAAAAUGAUACUAAAGUACUCUCCCAUCUUUUCAUAUUUGAGAAACUUUUAUCCUUCUGCCUAAUUUGAUUCGUCUCAUUCGUUCUGCCAUACAUCGAAAAUUUUCCAAUGUAUCAGAAUUAUACUUAAGCUUGUAAGUAUAACCAUAUUUACUAAACUUUAGUAAAUCAUGACGAAUAGUCUUAUCGAUCUUGGUGGUGGACUUGACUAGUGCACAAGAAUGUGUACUCGAUCCCUUAGUCCUUCACUUGACUCACAUAUACAUGUGAACAAGGAAUUAGUCUUAAUUUUCCAAAGAUGAAAAUUCUCAUUCAUCAUACUAUACAAUUUGCAUGAUUCCAAGUUUCUGUCCAAUUGAAACUUGGGUGAUGAGAAUCUUUCCUUAUUUGGUAAAUUUAGACACUACCACAAAUGAAAGAAUCAAAUUCAUAUUUCCACUCUUGCUAUUAAUGGAAUCUUAUAAACAACAAAAAUCUUCACAGAUGCCAUUGUAAGGAUAUUUUAAAAUAAAUAAAAUCAAAAAUUUUCCUUUUAUUUUAAAACUUUGCGGAAGAACAUAUCCUUACAAUCCAUAUGAAAACCUUGUUGUUAUAUAUUCCUAAGCAAUGUGUCAUUACUCCUAAGUAACAACUUCAAAAUUCUGAUGCGAUUGAAGUCUAUCAUCGCAAUCAGAAGCAACAUAUACUUUCCUUAAGCUUUCUCUCUUUUCUUUGAUUCUUAUAACAUCACCAUGUAACUCAGUUACAUGAUGUAAUAAGAAUCUCCAAAUUGGAGCUUAAUAGAGUUAGACAAUGGACUUUACCUGAAGUAGAGUCAAACUUAUUGACUUUAACAUUCUUAGGUAAAUUUGGCAGCUUCGGAACCAGUUCCCCUUCCUUUGGCAAUAGAUACGUAUGGACCCUUGAUAAUAGGACUAUCUUAGACUUAGCCUCUCUCUUUACCUUUUUGUCAACCGAGUUGACUAUGGCCGAUCCCUUUCCAUUGGGAAGAAAGAGUUUUUUAUGGAUUUCCAGUGUCAUCAUUGUCAAUGUCCAUAAGGUUUUGGGAAGUCGAUCUUCUAAUCAAAUUUUAUUUACUAGCCUGUCAAAUCAUUGCUGAUUCAGUAGUGCCAAGCAAAUAGAUAAGAUCAUUAAGGGUCUUGUCAUAGUCUGUUUCAUAGGAGUCCCAAAGGAACUCACUAUGUGACUUAGAAAGUGAUUGAACCACCAACUUUCUCAAGACUUUGACACCCAACUCUCCCGGCUUGUCAAUAUGUGACUUCAUCUCCAAGAUGUGAUCAUACCCAGACAUUGCCUUGCCAAUAGGGCUUGAGUGACCUAGAAAUUGUGGGUUAGGGAGAAUAAUUGGAGGAGGUGGAGGAAAUGAAGUUCCAAGAGAUUUGGGAAGAUCAUAGGUGUCUGAACUAGACAUCUUUUGGGAGAUAUUCAAGUUUAGUUGAUUUAAAGUCCUUAAUAUAACACCCAAUAUGAAAUAUUAAAGCUAGGACCCAACAACCUAUUUAUAACUGGAAGAGGGAUGUUGUAAUCCAAGUUAUAAAAUAGUUAAAGGUAGGUAAAUGAUGAUUUACCAAUUUCCACCAUGAAAAACAAAAUAUAAUUAAGUUUUAAUUGGAUUUGAAACUCCUAGAUCUUUUGAGAUUCAUUGAACUUUUCAAUGGCAUGUUUCAAAGUCGAGUGUGCCCUUCAGGUUUUGUGACUGGGAUGCCGAGGAUCACAAAACAAGGUGUGAAGUAACCAUGCACAUUACUUGGUACUCUUAAAUGUUUAUCACCCAACCAAUGUUCCGGUAAACCACACACGCUCCACCAGCCUAUGAUAAACUUUAAGAAAAUCAUUUGCCUACCUUGUUAAGUCAAGCCAGUGUGCCGGUAAACCACACACGCUCCACCAACCGACUUAAGCAAAGUACAAAGUGUAAUUUCAUGGGUUAGCACCUUAUUCACAUUUUCCUAAGUAACUAAGAUUGGGAAUUAUAAGUGUUUAGUUGCUUAGUAUUUAUCAUUAAUACUUUUAAUGAACGGAGAACUUAUAGUCUUUGUCCUACCCGUUCGGCUAAUGACCCUCCACCAGUCAAGGAAGCGGUGGGUGAGAGUGGACACCCAUUAAACUGCCAUUUUAUAGGUAGUAACCUUAUACCCCCCUUAUAGACCGGCUUCGUGAAUGAGGCCUACUAACGGUAAGACUGACUUUACUCUUAUACAUAUAUAUAUAAAUAUUAUUAACUUAUAAUAUUAUAAAGUA
rnacentral:lncRNA from 1 species